GACGAACGCUGGCGGCGUGCUUAACACAUGCAAGUCGAACGGAAAGGCCCUGCUUUUGUGUGGUGCUCGAGUGGCGAACGGGUGAGUAACACGUGAGUAACCUGCCCUUGACUUUGGGAUAACUUCAGGCAACUGGUGCUAAUACCGGCUAGGAGCUCCUGCUGCAUGGUGGGGGUUGGAAAGUUUCGGCGGUUGGGGAUGUACUCGCGGCUUAUCAGCUUGUUGGUGGGGUGGUGGCUUACCAAGGCUUUGACGGGUAGCCGGCCUGAGAGGGUGACCGGCGACAUUGGGACUGAGAUGCGGCCGAGACUCCUACGGGAGGCAGCAGUGGGGAAUAUUGCACAAUGGGCGGAAGCCGGAUGCAGCAACGCCGCGUGCGGGAUAACGGCCUUAGGGUUGUAAACCGCUUGCGCCUGUGACGAAGCGUGAGUGACGGUAAUGGGUAGAGAAGCGCCGGCUAACUACGUG
rnacentral:rRNA from 1 species